rnacentral:rRNA from 1 species
GAUGAACGCUAGCGGCAGGCCUAAUACAUGCAAGUCGAACGAGAUUACGAGGCUUUCUUCUUAUGAAAGUUGCCCACGGGUGCGUAACGCGUAUGCAACCUACCUUCAUCAGGGGGAUAGCCCGCAUAAAUUCGGAUUAACACCUCCCAAAAACACUGUAUAGCAUUAUCCAAUGUUAAAAUAUUUAUAGGAUUAUGAUGGGCAUGCGUGUCUUUAGCUCGUUGGCGGGGUAACGGCCCACCAAGGCGACGAUGACUAGCGGAUCUGAGAGGAUGACCACCGAAACUGGUACUGAGACACGGACCCGACGCCUACGAGAGGCAGCAGUAAGGAAUAUUGGGCAAUGGAGGGAACGCUGAAACAGCCAUGCCGCGUGCAGGAAGACAGCCCUCUGGGUCGGAAACUGCUUUUAUGCGGGAAUAAACCUUUCUACGUGUAGGAAGCUGAAUGUACCGAAGGAAUAAGGAUCGGCUAACUCCGU